rnacentral:rRNA from 1 species
AUUGAACGCUGGCGGCAGGCUUAACACAUGCAAGUCGAGCGGAGUGAUGGUGCUUGCACUAUCACUUAGCGGCGGACGGGUGAGUAAUGCUUAGGAAUCUGCCUAUUAGUGGGGGACAACAUCUCGAAAGGGAUGCUAAUACCGCAUACGUCCUACGGGAGAAAGCAGGGGAUCUUUAUGACCUUGCGCUAAUAGAUGAGCCUAAGUCGGAUUAGCUAGUUGGUGGGGUAAAGGCCUACCAAGGCGACGAUCUGUAGCGGGUCUGAGAGGAUGAUCCGCCACACUGGGACUGAGACACGGCCCAGACUCCUACGGGAGGCAGCAGUGGGGAAUAUUGGACAAUGGGGGGAACCCUGAUCCAGCCAUGCCGCGUGUGUGAAGAAGGCCUUAUGGUUGUAAAGCACUUUAAGCGAGGAGGAGGCUCUUUUGGUUAAUACCCAAGAUGAGUGGACGUUACUCGCAGAAUAAGCACCGGCUAACUCUGUGCCAGCCGCCGCCGUAAAAC